CUUCUCUUUCUAUCUCUUUGUAGUACAGAGUGGUACAGUUGCAACAGCAGAGGAGUUGUUCCUGACUUCUGGUCUUCAUCCUGCCUCAUACUAGCUAUAUGACUUUUGGUCUGAAAGCAAAGUAUCUGUGCCCGACUCUUACAGGAUUGUGAAAAGUAAAGAGGUUAACAUAUGGCGAAUGCUUUAAACUCUGUGGUGAAGAUGCCAGAGAGUAAUAUUCUACAGAUGGGAAAACUGAGUCCCAGAGAAGCUCACAGGCUUGACUUAAAUCAUGUGGCAACAGAAAGAAAAUGAUACUAGAUGGGAAUUUGGACCUGCA